GGCACCCCAAUUAAACCGCUUAUUAUCGUACGUACGUCUACCAUACAUGUCUACCUCCUUCUUCUUUACAGAGAGUUCAAUGAGUUCUUUUUCUUUGUUCGUAAGCUUAAAAGUUGGAGUAGAUUUGCAUUUGGUUUAGUAUGUCCUCGAAGUUGUCAUUGGGUUUCUCUAUCGGAUGGCUAUGCAUUCCUUCGUAGGUCGUCACCACGAUGCUUUCGUCCCUCGACAGUCGCUGGACUUGCUUCUUCACGUUGCAACCUUGAUGCGUGCACCGGUAGUAGCUUCUGCAACCAGAUCAAGAAAACAUGCUGAGUCGAGUCGACAAUCAACUGCGAUACAUAACAUCGAGCAUCAUUUCAGCAUGGAAACGAAAAGAAAUGGAAACAAGUGUCGAAGCGGCAAAAGGGAGACGGAUCCAAGUUGCUAACUUGAUCGUCACUCACGCAACGAUCAACAAGUUUUUUGAUCUUUGGAGGAAUUCAAUUUCCUCCGACUUAGAUUUUUUACUUCUCGCAGACACUAAUGCAAUUGUUUCCUUUAGUCAAUAAAAUCCUCUAAUUUUCUUUUCGAAGAAAAAAAAAUUAAGAGGGCGAAUAGAUCAGAAACAUGCCCGCAGUCACAAAACUAAAUGAGUAGAAUGUUUCGGAUACAUCUGAAUCCCUUUCUAGUUCUUUAGGUCGGAGCUGAAUAGAAAUGCUUAGGAGAAUCAACGAAUAGAAUUAGAGGAAUAAUUCCUACAAAUAUAGCAAGAACAGCUAAUUUCGCUCGCGUGAUUCUUUAUAUAUAUAUAUAUAUAUAUAUAUAUAUAUAUAUAUAUAUAUACACACACACAUGAGGAAAGAUAAGACAUGGACGUGACGUAUACGUGCACAACAAAAAAACUUGGGCAGGAUUUUGUUCAUAGUCAAGUUUGACCACCAAAACACUAUUCCUUAGGAGAACGAUGUCUGCCAAAGAAUUGAUCGGUGUGGAGUCCUUGUCGUCCUCUAGAAAUGAUACAGCCGCCUAGAAGAAGAUAAGAUGAAGAAAGGAUCACUCAUUUGGUUCUUUGAACUUUCCAUCGAAUGAGAAGAGUGCAACACUUGCCUUUCUCUUUUAGAAGGAAAAGCUUGCGUUCAAAGACAGCAAUUGCUCCCUUAAUUUUACAGCUCACCGUGCAUCGAUUGCAUUAAUCCUAUCGUGAUUCUUCCAAGAAAUAGAGGAAUUGCAGUGGUUUAGGAUGCUUGCUUGCAUCCCAUUUUUUGACCUUAAUAUUAAGUUCCCUCUGAGAAGAUUGGAGAGAGAGAGAGAGAGA
rnacentral:lncRNA from 1 species